GGAGAAACAUUGAAGAUCAACAUCCCCAUUUGGACCCAGUUCUCCUUUACCAUUUGGGUAAAAUGGGGAAUCAGGAACUCUACACACAAAUUAACAACUGUUGAAGAUGAACUGUAUGACAACAUAUUCAACGUUUCUUACCUUGCCUUCUCUGACCGUGCCCUGAUUGUAAUAAUCAAUGGCUGACUGGAAGAACGCAUGCCAUGAAUACAGACUGCCACAACACAGAAUUGAAAGAAUGGUAAAGGUACCCAUCUGAUGGCUAUCCUGCUGUGGAAGCAGGGCUCCCUUCUGCCUCAGCAGCAGAUGGGAGAGAUGAAUGUGUGACCCAUCUCAAGAUGUGUGAUAUCCCACCAAAUAGGCCAUCGUAUAACAGAUGCUAACUGGCUUCAAAGAUAUAUGUGUUUAAUAGCAACAGCAGCAGCAACAACAGUGAUGGCUGAAGAAGCAGUAAUAAUAACAUAAUUCUGUUACCACCUUGGAGAAAAGUGGAAUAUAAAUCAAAUAAAUAA